UUCCGCUGGACGAGGUACAUGUACCUUGUCCAUUGGAAGGAAACCCUUCCGCUGGAUGAGGUACAUGUACCUUGUCCAGCGGAAGGCUUUCCUUCCAAUGGACAAGGUACAUGUACCUCGUCCAAGCAGAA
rnacentral:miRNA from 1 species